GACUUCCGCUUCACCUCGCUAUCUUGCCCUAGAAAGGGAACUCGGAGGGGACUCACUGACGAAAGGAGCUCCAGAUGGCGGGGGGCCAACCUGGGGCGACCCCCAGCGCCCACUUUCACCAUCUGGACCCCAGCAAACCUCCCUGUGGCCCUUGGUCCCGUCUUCAGCAGCUCCUUCUGGGGUCCCACACCUUCGGAGCCCGGCCCUGCCCCUGAGUCUCUGGAGAGAGCGAGUCAGCAGUUCGCCGCCGCGGGGCUCCCGUUUGCCUAGCACGCCAGUUUCUGUCCAGUUUCACCCCAAAUCCCCACCUCCCCCCACCCCCGAACCUCACGGCCACCCUGGGAAGGAGGCUUGACUUGUGACAUCCACCCCUCUUCACGGCUGAGGAACUUUGGCCCCGAGCGAGGAAGCGACCGGCCCACGGCCACACGCCCGGAGUGGGGGGCAGCAUCUUCUACUAUGUGCAUCUACAUUGGAUGGCAGUGGAGCAACACAGAUUGUUUUCUGACAAAAAUCAGCCAAGUACUAGGAGAGGCAGGACUUUAGAAGUGGAGGAGAUGGAGAAGGAAGCUUAGGUUACUAUGGAGUGUGCAAAAAGGUCCUGUGGAUUUAGAUACCACCACACACAAAUGCUGUUGUUGGAAGGUACCUGCCCAGAUAAGGACUGCAUUUCCUCUAGCAUCCAGAUGGGACCAAAUGACUGCUGGCCAAUAGAAGUGAGUGGAAAGGACUGACUCCAGUUCCAGGUUGGGCCUCCAACUGCUCUGGGCACGUCGAUGGAACAGAACACCACCUCCACCCCAAUACCACCAAUUCAACUUUACAUGAAUUAUAAGCGAGAAAUAACUUGGACUGUGUUAAGUCAUUGAGUUUCUGGGGUUUAACUGUUAUUAUAGUUAAGAAUGACUUUAACUAAUAUAGUCAAUGACAUCUAAAAAAAAAAA
rnacentral:lncRNA from 1 species